GACGAACGCUGGCGGCGUGCUUAACACAUGCAAGUCGAACGGAAAGGCCCUGCUUUUGGGGGGUGCUCGAGGUGCGAACGGGUGAGUAACACGUGAGUAACCUGCCCUUGACUUUGGGAUAACUUCAGGAAACUGGGGCUAAUACCGGAUAGGAGCUCCUGCUGCAUGGUGGGGGUUGGAAAGUUUCGGCGGUUGGGGGGGGACUCGCGGCUUAUCAGCUUGUUGGUGGGGUAGUGGAUGACCAAGGCUUGGCCGGGUGGCCGGCCUGGGAGGGUGACCGGCCACGUUGGGACUGAGAUACGGCCCAGACUCCUCCGGGAGGCAGGAGUGGGGUAUAUUACACAAUGGGCGGAAGCCUGACGCAGCACCGCCGCGUGCGGGAUGACGGCCUUCGGGUUGUAAUCCGCUUUCGCCUGUGACGAAGCGUGAGUGACGGUAAUGGGUAAAGAAGCACCGGCUAACUACGUG
rnacentral:rRNA from 1 species